rnacentral:rRNA from 1 species
GGGGGAUAACAUUCUGAAAAGAAUGCUAAUACCGCAUGACAUAUCGGAAUCACAUGAUUUUGAUAUCAAAGAUUUUAUCGCUUGAAGAUGGACUCGCGUCCGAUUAGUUAGUUGGUGAGGUAACGGCUCACCAAGACCGCGAUCGGUAGCCGGACUGAGAGGUUGAACGGCCACAUUGGGACUGAGACACGGCCCAGACUCCUACGGGAGGCAGCAGUGGGGGAUAUUGCGCAAUGGGGGCAACCCUGACGCAGCAACGCCGCGUGAAGGAUGAAGGUUUUCGGAUUGUAAACUUCUUUUAUUAAGGACGAAAAUUGACGGUACUUAAUGAAUAAGCUCCGGCUAACUACGUGCCAGCAGCCGCGGUAAUACGUAGGGAGCAAGCGUUGUCCGGAUUUACUGGGUGUAAAGGGUGCGUAGGCGGCUUUGCAAGUCAGAUGUGAAAUCUAUGGGCUCAACCCAUAAACUGCAUUUGAAACUGUAGAGCUUGAGUGAAGUAGAGGCAGGCGGAAUUCCCCGUGUAGCGGUGAAAUGCGUAGAGAUGGGGAGGAACACCAGUGGCGAAGGCGGCCUGCUGGGCUUUAACUGACGCUGAGGCACGAAAGCGUGGGUAGCA